rnacentral:rRNA from 1 species
UACGGAGGAUCCGAGCGUUAUCCGGAUUUAUUGGGUUUAAAGGGUGCGCAGGCGGGAAAUUAAGUCGGCGGUGAAAUUUUGCAGCUUAACUGUAACAGUGCCGUUGAUACUGGGGAGCUAGGAUUUGGUUGCUGUGGGUGGAAUGUGUGGUGUAGCGGUGAAAUGCUUAGAGAUCACACAGAAUAUCGAUUGCGAAGGCAGCUCACAAAGCCAAGAUUGACGCUGAGGCACGAAAGUGUGGGGAUCAAACAGGAUUAGA